rnacentral:rRNA from 1 species
UGGGGAAUAUUGGACAAUGGGCGCAAGCCUGAUCCAGCCAUGCCGCGUGAGUGAUGAAGGCCCUAGGGUUGUAAAGCUCUUUCACCGGUGAAGAUAAUGACGGUAACCGGAGAAGAAGCCCCGGCUAACUUCGUGCCAGCAGCCGCGGUAAUACGAAGGGGGCUAGCGUUGUUCGGAUUUACUGGGCGUAAAGCGCACGUAGGCGGACUUUUAAGUCAGGGGUGAAAUCCCGGGGCUCAACCCCGGAACUGCCUUUGAUACUGGAAGUCGUGAGUAUGGUAGAGGUGGGUGGAAUUCCGAGUGUAGAGGUGAAAUUCGUAGAUAUUCGGAGGAACACCAGUGGAGAAGGCGGCUCACUGGACCAUUACUGACGCUGAGGUGCGAAAGCGUGGGGAGCAAACAGG